UACAGAGGUCUCAAGCGUUGUUCGGAUUCAUUGGGCGUAAAGGGUGCGUAGGCGGCGCGGUAAGUCGGGUGUGAAAUCUCGGAGCUUAACUCCGAAACUGCAUUCGAUACUGCCGUGCUUGAGGACUGGAGAGGAGACUGGAAUUUACGGUGUAGCGGUGAAAUGCGUAGAUAUCAGCAGGAACACCCGUGGCGAAGGCGGCUUCCUGGGCCGCACCUGACGCUGAGGCGCGAAAGCGUGGGGAGCGAACGGG
rnacentral:rRNA from 1 species